GCGAUACCUGGCAGAGUCUUCUGGUCCAAAUCCAGCAGCACCGCACCUGUAAACACGAACAGAACACGUUUCACUCCUGUCAGUGUCUGGUUACUCUGAGCUUCUCUCCCGUCUCGGCGCGUGAAAGGAAAGAACUCAUUCAUUCAUUUUUAAUCAUCUCCCUGUCGCUUCUACAAAAGAGGCCGAGCAGAACAAAACCCAAGACGGAGAGGCGGGGAAAAACGGUAUUUACAAUUUGUAAGCCAUUUCAAACCAUUUUGAACAUUAAAACAUGUUUUAAAGCUAAAUUUUCCAUAUUCAGGAGUAAAUGUUAACUUUCCUUCCACUUUCCAGAUAACUUUAUAGAUGCUUUUCUAACUGUUUCGCAUACAGGAUAUAUCCAGGAAGUGAGUUAGCAAGAAUAGAAAACAAAUUCAGAUUGUUUUCAGAGAAAUGACUGAAGAAAAAGAAGAAACUA